rnacentral:lncRNA from 1 species
UUCUCUUCACGAGACACGCCACGUCAGCGUUUUCAGAUGAAAGAGAUUUUGCCACGUCAAUAUAUUCUCUCCUGCCAUUAAACAUCAUUCAUGGUAUGUAUGUUUUGGGCUUUGUCGAUUGUGUAGUAUAUGUGUUUUGGGCUUUGUUGAUUUAAGCAUGACUUAGGGAUAUUUUUUUUGGCUUUCUAUUAGAAUACAAUGUAGAGAAUCGCCGCUGCAUAACAGCUCCUCUUCAGCCAACUGCCUAGGAAGAUCCGACGAUAUCACGGACGAAGAUUAAGUCCGAAAAAUCUCAGUUUGAAGCUGUCAUCUCUUGCUAAUCGAUUAGAGUUCUUUCCUUAUAAAUUAGCACCGUUACUAGAAAACGACUGCAUUCAAACAUUGUCAUUAAACCUCAAGUUUACACCAAUGCAUGUUCUCAUUUCUUCCAUUGUUUCAAAUAUUUAACUAUAAAUAUGUGAGUUUUACCCCGUAAAAUUCAUCAACUCAUUGCUCUCAAAACAAAACUCUAUAAUCAUAGAAUCACAGAUCCGAUAUGAAAGAAUAAAAUACCUUGAUGUAGAACCUUUCUUAAUCUGAGCCUCCGUAGCGGUGGGCUAACGCCGAGCACAUCGUAAUACUCUGACAGCGAUCUCUUUUCCCAACACCCAUAUCACAAUAAAGAAGAAAGCGAAAACACAACACACGCGUUGCGUUGACGAGUACGCGCUGGGCAUUUCAACUCAACCACUC